rnacentral:rRNA from 1 species
GUCCAGACUCCUACGGGAGGCAGCAGUGGGGAAUAUUGCACAAUGGGGGAAACCCUGAUGCAGCGACGCCGCGUGAGUGAAGAAGUAUUUCGGUAUGUAAAGCUCUAUCAGCAGGGAAGAAAAUGACGGUACCUGACUAAGAAGCUCCGGCUAAAUACGUGCCAGCAGCCGCGGUAAUACGUAUGGAGCAAGCGUUAUCCGGAUUUACUGGGUGUAAAGGGAGCGCAGGCGGCGCGCCAAGUCUGGUGUGAAACCCCGGGGCUCAACCCCGGGACUGCAUUGGAAACUGGCGGGCUGGAGUGUCGGAGGGGCAGGCGGAAUUCCUGGUGUAGCGGUGAAAUGCGUAGAUAUCAGGAGGAACACCGGUGGCGAAGGCGGCCUGCUGGACGACAACUGACGCUGAGGCUCGAAAGCGUGGGGAGCAAACAGGAUUAGAUACCCUGGUA